rnacentral:lncRNA from 10 species
CCACAUCUGGCCACUCUCUGCUGGAGCUUGUCUACCUGCAGUGCACAAAGGCACAAGGAUCGUCAGAGCGAGUCCCGCAAGGUGGAGGUGUUUUCCUCGGAAACCCCGAACAAGUUUCUGUUUCCUCACAUGCAAAAUGGUAUUAAGUCUCUACUAUACCGCAGAGUCAUUGUGAGGAUCGACGGGCGUAAUGAAUGUGAGCACGUAGAAGUACUCUACAUUCACCAUUAAAAUGAAGACAAGUCCGGUUUGUCUUAUUCUUGCCUAAUACCCUUCCCCAAAUCCAGCUUCCCAGUUGCCCAGCUUUCGAAGUUCUUUACUUGCUUUCCGGUUUUCAGUUCUGAUUUUAGAUGUUCUUUUCUGAUUAUAAACCCCUCUGGGUUAGGGGGAACAUUUCAUGUCUUGAUCAGGGUGGAGUUACAGAGGUGUAUCCAUAUGUAAAAACAAUCAACUAGUGUACACUUAAGAUUAGAGUACUUUAUUGUAUGUUAUACAUCAAUUUAAAAAAUCACAAUCUACUUCUUAAGCCAUGUGUGCUGAUUUUUUAUCGGGAAAAUGUACACUUGCAUGCAUCUGGGCAGUUGGAAUCAUCCUUUGGAGGCGCCCUGACUACAUCUGGCCUUUCUAGGCUGUGCCCACCAGAGAGACCCUUUUCCUUCCUUUUGAAAACUAACCUGUGUUCAUUUUGUAAGAGAGUUGCUUCCAGUUAGCUCAGGCUGAAAGAGAUCUGAGGCAUUUUGUUCAGCGUUCAGGCAGAUAUUUC